CGUCGUCCCCGCCGCGGCCCGCGCCGUCCCCAGCGCCAGCCGCGCGGCCGCGCACCAUUCACCCGGGGGAGAGGCGGAGGAACGUGCGGGUGGGGCAGGGAAGGAAGGCGGCCCCAUCUCCGCCCCCCUUCCCUUCCUUUAUCCCAGUGGGGCCCAGACCCGCGCAACCAGGCGGGGAGGGGAGGUGGGCGCGCGAUUGGGUUGCGAUCUGGAGCAGUGGGGACAGGUCAGGAACCGGCGCGUAUUUCUGCAGUGAGACCACAGGACGGACAUCGGCGCCUUCGGCUUCGAUGGAGUUGCGAUUUUGCUCUUUCCAGGGAAACAGUGGCAGGGUGUUUGCUGCUUAUCGGUUCCUGCGGAUAUGCCUGGGUCCCAGGACAUUCCACUGGAGGCUUGGACUGCAUUUAGGAGCCCCUAUCCCUUCCCUGUCCACACUGUUAGUGAGCAAUUUCAUAUGUUUGCAUUUAGACCCAUAGACUCAGAACGACUCAUCACACACACACACAGUGUACACUGACACACUCACAUUCGCACACUUAGGUAUACAGCCUGAUCCUUGCUCUGACCUGGUAACAACGCUUCCUCCUCCAGAGACUUUGAGAUAGAGCGAGCGAUCCCUGUGCACCAUUCAUCCAUGCUCCCACCUCGCCAGUAUGGCUGGCUUAGUUCUGGAAGGGGCUUAAGAGGAACAAGCCCCAGCUGUGCUUCUGGCUGGGACUUAAACCCCCCUUCUGGGCCCUAAAGCCACGCUUCUUUGUGGACCGGACCUGACUCUCCAGGAAUCUGGGAACCCGCUAUUUCACUCUAUUUUGGGACAAGAAAAAGGGGCUCUUUGGGGCCACUUCCUGCCUUCCCCUCAAGUAGGAUCUCCAGCCUGCAGAGGGUGCCUAGUCCUUCUUUGCCCAAGAACCAGUCCAAGAAGCCUUUCCUCUGUGCCUGGGAAAUGCAACCUUUUCUUGGGAGCAUGGUAGGGUGUUGGUGCUGAAGAACCAAGCAGCGACCCGUCUUGUAGCUGCCAUGUUUUGUCGAGGGGUUCUGGGGGUCCUGCUGCUUUAGAGCCACAUACUUCCACUUCCUGAUUCACUACUGUGAGCUGGUCAGAUGCCUAGAAGAGGAACAAGCGUUCAAAGUGAAAGUGGGCACAUUACCGGAAUAGUGCUGGGGAGAGUGCUGGAUUCUUUUCCACCCCAGGCGGACUGGUGAGAAGCCAGGCUUGGACCUGUCCUCUGCUCCUAGCUUGCACACUCAGCCCUAAACUCAGAGCAGCACGCAUACCACCCCUCACACACACCCCACCAAGUGUGCCCUUUCCUUCUUGACUUUUUAGCAGUUCUGGGUAAAUAUUGAUUUGCCCCCAGUUUACCUUCUCCCUGACUGGCCAUUUGCAGACUCAGGAACUAGCCUCUGUAGGGACUUGAUUUUUCUGUUACUUUCUGGCCGUUUCACCACCCCCCUUCCUCCCUCCAAGUGGCAUUGUAAAACUCACAGUGACAAAGAGACAGAGUAGGGUUCUAGGCCCCUGUUCCUGGGGACUUGAAGGCGGUUUUACAUACUGGUCAGACACGGCUGGAGGCCAAGGUCAAGUUGAAAGUUGCAGUCCAGCCAGCAUGAGAACUGCCAUGCGAGCGUAGAGACACAGGCAGCAGCAAAAGGCCCAUUGCCCACAUCCCCUCACUCUUAAUUUUCUCUCUCUUUUUAAAAUUCUCGCCUCUGACUCUGUUCGGCUGCCCAGAAUUUUUUGGUGCCUUCGUGGGGUUUUUGGGGCGGUGUUUACCGACUCUUCUCUGCCUCCGCCCUGCUCAGCCAGGGCUUUGAGCCUCUUCGGUUUUCCGGCCAGACCCGGAAAAACGAAAACACAGCUUGGGGAGCCCCCACUAGCCGGCGCCUGUGCCAGCUCACCUCUGGCCAUGGCGCAGCUGCCGGUGCACACGGCGGCCAAGGCCAGCUCCACAUUCUUCCCUCCCCCUCCCACUUCACCGUAGCCCCGAACCCUGCGCGCAGAGAAAGGGUCUCAGCUCCACAGACGACUGGGUCCCUCCUCACCAAAAAUGGUGAGACAAGAUUUCAUCUGUCGGCCGAGGAGCCACAAGCAGGUUUGUCUGAGAGGGAUGGUGCUGGGGGAAGGCUUUGGAUUGCAUCUCAAAUUAAGCUUUGCUCCUUAAAUGUGGCGCUCUCGCCAAGAAAAAGCUUGGGGACUGAAUUCUUGAGAUUUAUGGUGCACCUUAUUGAUCAAAUUUAUCUGGACUUUUUUUAGUUCCCCGAUGUGUCCCUAUCAUUAAAAAAAAAAAAAAAAAAAAAAAACCCCUCUCAAGACAUGCUUAUUUAGAGGAAGGCACCCUGCUUGUUCUCUUCUUGUCUUGGAUCUCAACAUGUAUCUUAUUUUUCUACCAGACAUGUCCAUGGCGUCCUGGCAUGCCCCACUGUUUUCAAAUGUCUGCAUGUCCUGUCAGUAUUGAGUUGUAGCCACCAAUCAGUGGAGGUCGUUUAUAGAAGGAGAACGAGCUCUGAAUAAUUUGGGUCUGAGUUUCAGAAUUUCUACUCACUUUUAAGCAAGAAUAAUCUUCCUUCCCUGUCUUCUGCUAAGGGAGAUAAGAUAUUUAUUAAUGUUUCCCAAUAUGAUUUCUUUCCCUGCCAGGCAGCCAACAAACUGACUUGCUGUGGCAAAAGAAAGUUUGGAGGACGAUUGAGACGGGUGUGCUCUGGGAAGCAAGCACAGACCCUCCUAGCAUUUUUCCUCUUUUCCCAACGGCAAGGUCAAGAUUUGCUUGCCUGCCAAGGUAGUGGGUCCUGAUCUUCUGAGCUGUCUGUCCCUCUGAUUUUUUGUUCUCCAGGCUCAGGAAUUCCUAUAGGAUUGCAGAGGCACCUUCAACCUGAUAAUUUUAUAUUCUCAGGCUCCUCCUGGGUUAGACUGGGGAAGCCAGGGCACCCACUAGGAUCGGCCGGCAGCGGUGGCACCUUAGGCAUGACAGCCAAGCAGAGGGCUGCAUGAGUAGAGGUGGGAGAGGUGGGAGAGGCUGCAGUCACUUCCCAGGUACUGUCUGGUGCACUGAUUUCCCCGGAGGAGCCCUGAGAGGGCAGUGCAGGCAGGACCGGAGGGUAGUUUCUGCAGCACGGCCUUUAUUUCAGGAAUCACCAGAGCCUUUCUCAGUGUUCCAAAAUGCCUUGGCUGACAAGGCUUCUUACUUCCUGGGGUAGGCCAGGGUGCCCUGCAGGGACUGGUUGCCCAAAAACCUCUCACUGAAGAAAAAAACCGCAGCUAGGUUUUUCUGGGUGGGGAACUGGAUGCCAGCCUGGUCCACGCGGCUCUGGGCUCCCAGCAUUGGAGAAGAAAAGGAAAAAGGGAAACCAGGUUUUAAUCGAGCUUGAUUUUCAUUAGCAAAUGAAAUUUACCUGCUCUCACUUUAACUCUGAGGAGGCUGUCAGCACUGCUCCCUGGCACUAUUUCUUUGCAUCCAUCCAGCACUAGGAUAAACAUUCCUUGGUUGAUUCUAAAGACACUUUGUAUUUCAGGAUAUUCAUGUGCUUUUAAUGUAUCCAAGCAGCUUUACAAGCCACUUUUGCAGAACAUCUUAACCCUCUCUCUCCCACCCUAGGUGGGCUGGGGCACAGAGAUAAUGGCAAAGGAAGAAAGAUCCAGAGGAAAAACUGGUUGAGGGGCUGAGGAGAGAGAAAGAGAAAAGACGAAAUCGUCAAACAGUGUAGCACCUCUGAAGCCAAACUUGAGCAGAUCAUUUGGGAAAGGAGCAAGUGGGGGACUGCUCUGCUUAUGGAGGGAAUUUUGAGUGUCCCCAUCAGGUAGAAGCUGUACCCUCUUUCUUAAGGGGAAAGGGUUGGUAGGUCCUGAGAUCUGGGCUGAAGUUGGCCAGCGGACAGGGAAAUGGUGCAUCGAGUCACUCACUCAACCUUUUGUUCCAGAUUUUUGUGCAUUUGAAACAAUAAUAAGGCAGUAAAAGGCUUGAGGCUGUGGGAUAGUUUUGGGCUAUUGUCACUGUGGUGACCAAAUGUUAACAUGGUGAAAGUGGAAGUGCAAGGUCCAGGAAGAUCUACAGGGACCCCCACUUUGCCUUUAAGAUCCCUUCAUGGGGUGGAUCUCAAGGACAGCAGGUUUUUGGAGGAGCAGCUCUCCUGCUGCCUGUAGAGUUUUUUGUUUUGUUUUGUUUUUUCAGGUACCACAAAGCCACUAGUGCACAGGGACUCAGAAAAGACGGCAGGAGCCCAAGGAAAACUCCAAUUUGAGUACAGCCCUGCCUUGUUUCCCCCAGAGAGUCCCUGAGCAAGGAGACCUCCACCCCACACACACCAUUUCAGAACAACCAGGUUCCAGACUCCCAUGAGGAGCAUCUCCCACUGCAGAGCCUUGGCCAGCCGCGCCCGGACUCCUCAGAGCUGGCGCAAACUCCGUCCUCCAAAACUCGGCUCUGGGAGGCCUAAGUGACUCCGAAGCCGGCGGCAGCCGCGGCAGCGGCCGUGGUGGUGGAAGAGCUCUUUUCCCCGACAGUGCCACUGAUCGCUCUUCACUGGAGCUGGAAACAGCCUUCGCGGAAAGGACCGGAGCAUGCGUUAGAAGCAGAGGGAGCUUGGUGAAGGGCUCGGCUGGAAGGAGGAAACGCCUUCUCGCAGUGCGCGGCCAGCCCGCGGGGGACACCGGCUUGCUGGACUGCAGGGGCCCGUGCCACCCAGGAAGUGACCUGCGGGUCACUCAGCCGGGGCGCUGGGCGAGCGCGGGACGGCCCGGAGAAUUCCGUGCGGCUGCGACGGGAAAAGGACGAGGGGUCUCUGUACCCGACGCUGCCACUGGCCCAAAGGAAUUUUACCCGCGAGCGCCCACCCCACCCUAGCUUGAUGCUUACGCCCGCAACAAAACAGGAAACCAGGACUGGGCAGUGCAUUCUUUAAGUCAACAAAUACACUGAAGACUUCGAGCGUUUGAAGGAAGGAGGGGGUUUGCACGUAAGCCUGGCCCCGCCGGGCUCGGCUUUCUCGCUGAGAAAGCGGCGCAGGCAGCCAGGCGGCCUGGGCCCGCGGGGGUCCAUCUCGCCCUAGACUCCUAAGAACUCCCACGGCCCUGUUCCCAGCUGCGAAUUCUUAAUGCACAACGCGACGGAGGGAAGGAAAUUCACCAGCGCAGCGACGAGGAAGGGGAACUCAGGACCCCUUCAAGUACACACUGAGGUGUGAUCAGAGUUUUAUGGGCACUUUAUAUGCUGUAAUCAUAACGAUGUGUGUGCCUUGAUAUGCACGCAUAUUCACGCAUCAAACGUGCAUACACACACAGAGUGAAUGUGCGCAUCCAAUGUCAUGUGGGUGAAAUACAAGCAUCAUACCCAGCCCUACGAAAAAAAAAUUCACCCUGUCGGACCAGGCUGGUGACAUACUUCGCUGGCGCAUCUCCUUACUCACUCUUACUUUUCCGACCCCUCACCAUUCCCUCUCCUGUGGCUUGGUAAAUACACCUGCCCUCCGUGGAAGGUGAGUCCUGGACUGGCGUUGCCAGGUUCGCAUGUCCUCCCCAGAACCUCCGUCUGGCUCCAGGGACUCUCACUGAGCGGGUCUAGAGCACCCAGCACUUUUCAAGGAACAGCCGCGGUUCCUUUGUCCCGCGGCUCCAGCCCCGUUCGGCCCAGCUCUCAGGGAAACGAAGCGCUCAGUAAGAACUUUUGAUAUUAGUUUGUAUGGGUAUUUACACUCUGGUGAGGGGAGCUGAGUACGGAAGUUCCAUUAAUCAUACUCCAACCUUGGGUUUAGAUAUUCAGUUUAUGGGUUGGGAGAGGGAGUUUGCCGGAAAGAAAGCAUCAAGGUUGGCCGCUGACUCCAGAGAAAUGAAAAGGGAGCAAGGUCGUUUUCUGUUUCUGGAAAUCAAGAAUUAGGAAUGGGCAACUACAGGUGCUAACCAACAGACCACUUUUUUGUUUUUUGGUAGCCCUUUGGCAGGGAUAGUUUUUCCACCUUUGCCCGAUACAAUUUAAAAAAAAAAAUCCUUUUAUUAUGGAAUUUGUCAAACACACACACAAGCAUAACAAACCCCUAGGUACCCAUCUCCAAGUUUUGACCCCUAUUAUAAUUUCAUCUUCAGUGUUUUAUUAUCCACUUCCUCUCUCUCUAUCUUUAGUAUUUUAAAGUAAAUCCCAGAUAGCAUCACAUCAUUUCACCCCCACCAUAGGAUUUCAAAGAUCUGUUAUAUUUCAAGAUUGAGUAAAAGGGCUUGAAAUUGGGUUAUUGCAAUGAAACUCUAGAAAAAGCUUGAGGGUUCACCCAGGAGUAAGCUGGACAAAAAAGGGGUUUGAGGGGUGGACCCAUCUUGCCUAAAAAUCUUGUCUCAUCUUUCUAAAAAUUACAUAUGAAAGAGGAAGAUUUAUGUUACUUUUUUAUAUGAGAGAAUCGUCCUUUAAUAGAAAAUUUCUAUUGCUGCAUCAGAAUUAUGGAGGAACACAAAAAACAUACCUCAGUCCUUAGUGUGUCCUAAAUUAACACAUAUUCACUUAUUAGUGGGUAAAUGACUAUAUUUCAUUUCAGCACAACUUCUCCCCUGGUAGAAACACAAAAGAAAUUUCUAAUGAUUAAACUAGGAAAGUUUGCACUGAAUUGAUGGCUUAUCAGAGCAACCGCAGUUUUCAGGAAGAAAUUCAAUGCCAUGCGUUGAAAAUAUCCCCCUAGCAAUAAGGGAUUAUUUUUAAAAAAGAAUGAAUAAAGAUGUUCUGGUUUCUUUUGUUUUAAUCUGGUAGUCUCAUUUACAACGAGCAUGAUUCUCCCUGUCGAACUCUGAAAGUGACUUAACUGAAAGGCUUGGCAACUUCAGAAAGCAAAAAGGUAAAAACAGAAAAUAGCACACGGUUGAAUUUGACAACUUUUACACUACCCGGCUGCUUAAUAAAUUCUAACCCCACUUGUCUGAGUGGAUACUGAUCAUCUUUUCUAUGGCAGUAUUUUGUAUUUGGGUUGUUUAUGGUUUCUUAAUUAAUUUUUUUGAGUAGUGAUUAAAUAUCUGGGAUGCUUUUACACUAAGCAUAUAAAUUCUCAUGGUAUUAGAAAAGAGCUAUUUGAUGAAACUCAUAAGGGGUAUGUAAAUUAAAAAAGAGAAGAAAGUGUGUGUACAUAUUUUACAAUAAUCUCGAACGACUCCAACUAUAUGUUGCAGAAGCCAUGAGCUCUCUGCCCACUGUCUGUGGGGUAUCAGCAAGAUUGACUCCUACCAAGCCUUGGGCACAGUGGUGG
rnacentral:lncRNA from 10 species